rnacentral:rRNA from 1 species
AACGAACGCUGGCGGCAUGCCUAACACAUGCAAGUCGAACGAGACCUUCGGGUCCAGUGGCGCACGGGUGCGUAACCCGUCGGAACCUGCCCUCAGGUUCGGAAUAACUCCCCGAAAGGGGUGCUAAUACCGGAUAAUGUCUUCGGACCAAAGAUUUAUCGCCUUUGGAUGGGCCCGCGUUGGAUUAGCUAGUUGGUAGGGUAAAAGCCUACCAAGGCGACGAUCCAUAGCUGGUCUGAGAGGAUGAUCAGCCACACUGGGACUGAGACACGGCCCAGACUCCUACGGGAGGCAGCAGUGGGGAAUAUUGGACAAUGGGCGAAAGCCUGAUGCAGCAAUGCCGCGUGAGUGAUGAAGGCCUUAGGGAUGUAAAGCUCUUUUACCCGGGAUGAUAAUGACAGUACCGGGAGAAAAAGCUCCGGCUAACUCCGUG